GAUGAAGAACGCAGCGAAAUGCGAUAAGUAGUGUGAAUUGCAGAAUUCAGUGAAUCAUCGAAUCUUUGAACGCACAUUGCGCCCCCCGGUAUUCCGUGGGGCAUGCCUGUUCGAGCGUCAUUUAACCCCUCAAGCCUAGCUUGGUAUUGGGUGCUUGUCCCGCCUCUCGCGCGGCGACUCACCUCAAAGUCAUUGGCAGCCCGCAUCUCGCCGGCCGUGAGCGCAGCACAGACGCGCUCUUGGCAACGACGGAUCGGCUCUCCAAAAGCUUAUUUCAACCACUGACCUCGGAUCAGGUAGGGAUACCCGCUGAACUUAAGCAUAUCAAUAAGCGGAGG
rnacentral:misc_RNA from 1 species